CCUACGGGAGGCAGCAGUGAGGAAUAUUGGUCAAUGGACGCAAGUCUGAACCAGCCAUGCCGCGUGCAGGAAGACGGCUCUAUGAGUUGUAAACUGCUUUUGUACGGGGGUAAACGCAGACACGUGUAUCUGUCUGAAAGUACCGUACGAAUAAGGAUCGGCUAAUUCCGUGCCAGCAGCCGCGGUAAUACGGAGGGUUCAAGCGUUAUCCGGAUUUAUUGGGUUUAAAGGGGGCGUAGGCGGUCGGUUAAGUUAGCGGUGAAAUCCCGGGGCUCAACUUCGGAAUUGCGGCGGAUACUGGUCGGCUUGAGUGUACUUGCGGUAGGCGGAAUGUGUGGUGUAGCGGUGAAAUGCUUAGAGAUCAUGCAGAACACCGAUUGCGAAGGCAGCUUACCGGGGUGCUACUGACGUUGAGGCUCGAAGGUGUGGGGAGCAAACAGGAUUAGAUACCCUAGUAGUC
rnacentral:rRNA from 1 species